rnacentral:rRNA from 1 species
UACGGAAGGGGGCUAGCGUUGCUCGGAAUGACUGGGCGUAAAGGGCGCGUAGGCGGUUUGUACAGUCAGAUGUGAAAAUUCCUGGGCUCAACCUGGGGGACUGCAUUUGAUACGUGCGGACUUGAGUGAGGAAGAGGGUCGUGGAAUUCCCAGUGUAGAAGGUGAAAUUCGUAGAUAUUGGGAAGAACACCGGUGGCGAAGGCGGCGACCUGGUCCUUGACUGACGCUGGAGGCGCCGAAAGCGUGGGGGAGCAAACAGG